CAGCACAGAAAAGAAGAGAGAGAAACCCUGAGGAAAUAAACAAAUAUCCAGCCUCAAACCUUGAGGCUGAGAUACCAUCAUUUGCAAGAAGCAGAUGAUGAUAUCAGGAUGAACAUUGGACUAAACUAGAUUGAACUUUCAAGACUUCAAAGGGGAUCUGGCUCUUUAAUUCACUGAGGAAGGGUGCCCAGCCAACUCGGCUCCCUUCAGAGGAUGAGACUACCAUCGUUCUUAAUGAUUCGCGCUAGGAAAUCUCUACUACAUCUCUGCCAAGAUCACUAACUGAUCCGCAGUGCGCCUGCCCAAACCGCAGCCGCCUAGCUCUGCAGACACCCAACAACAGCAAAAAGAGCUGC